GCGCAGCUGCAAUUACGUCCAGUCUUCUCUAAAUAUACUGAAAGAGUUUCCAUUACUAGAGAAAUAUCGGCUGUGAUUUAUUAACGUGUGAUUUGUUUCCCGCCGUGUACUGCUUUCUUUCGAUGUGAUAAUGCUAAAAGAAACCUUGCCGCGCAGUGCCAGUACAUGAGAAGACUGCCACAGACGACUGUUCGGAAGCUUGAAAUGUAGUGAGCAGCGGACGGCGCGAAUGCAGACUUGUGUGGACUCAGCAUGGUCCACUUAAGGAGACGUCCAACACUGUCUCAACGUAAUCAGUACUGCUGAACUAGCGUGCAAAUCUCUGGUAAUAUCCGCAUGCAUGCAGCCACUGAGAGAGCUUGAGAGUUAGACUGGCCAAGCUUUCGACUGACUUGAAAGCACGCUUUUUUCCGGUUUGUCGAGGCGAGAAGUUGCAGCAGUUCUGAGGUGCCUGCUGCUGUUUAAGAAUUUGAACGACAUUAGACGCAACCAGCAGGAAUAAAACUUCUGCUCCACAUAUGUAAAUAAAAUUUGUUAACAUAUCUUGAGAUUUCCUUCAGACGUAAUACAUUUGACUGUUAAAACCACAGGAUACUUAUUGACUCCACAAAAGUGUCCAAGAGACGGAUUCCCACAACAUUCAUUUAAUAUACAGGAUCAUGAAGCGACCCUCAGAUUUACUUUGGAGUGAGUGCGAGAAUUCUGU